GCUGCUGCUUCUGACCUACUGAACUACAUCUAAUCCAGAUGAGAAACUGGAGAACAUGGAGGUUUUGCAAUUUGAGCUGAGCCACGCGGGAGCUCUUUGGCAGAAGAGGCGGCCUGGCCUCCCGAGGGAGCUGAGCAACAGCUGCACCAGGAGGGACCCCUGCACAGGAGACAAGGACUUCCAGAAUGCCACCAGGGACUACCAGAAAGCACCUCAGCAAACACCCCAAAACACGGGAAGGAGCUGCAGAAAGCCAGCGUGAGAAUCCGAAGAACAACAUCCCAGGUACCAAGGGGGUGAGGUCCCACAGAGCUCAGGCCAGCAACCACCCACUGCGUGCUCUGGUGGGUUUGGAAUCCCAUCCUGUAGGGCAGCUCCCACAUG